rnacentral:rRNA from 1 species
AUUGAACGCUGGCGGCAGGCCUAACACAUGCAAGUCGAACGGUAGCACAGAGAGCUUGCUCUCGGGUGACGAGUGGCGGACGGGUGAGUAACGUCUGGGAAACUGCCCGAUGGAGGGGGAUAACUACUGGAAACGGUAGCUAAUACCGCAUAACGUCGCAAGACCAAAGUGGGGAACCUUCGGGCCUCACACCAUCGGAUGUGCCCAGAUGGGAUUAGCUAGUAGGUGGGGUAAUGGCUCACCUAGGCGACGAUCCCUAGCUGGUCUGAGAGGACGACCAGCCACACUGGGACUGAGACACGGCCCAGACUCCUACGGGAGGCAGCAGUGGGGAAUAUUGGACAAUGGGGCAACCCUGAUCCAGCAAUGCCGCGUGUGUGAAGAAGGCCUGCGGGUUGUAAAGCACUUUCGGUGAGGAGGAAAUGCUUGGUGCUAAUAUCGCCAAGAGCUGACGUUACCCACAGAAGAAGCACCGGCUAAUUCUGUGCCAGCAGCCGCGGUAA